rnacentral:rRNA from 1 species
UACGGAGGGUGCAAGCGUUGUUCGGAUUUAUUGGGCGUAAAGGGCGUGUAGGCGGUCCGUUAAGUCUGAUGUGAAAGCCCCGGGCUCAACCUGGGAAGUGCAUUGGAAACUGGCGGACUUGAGUACGGGAGAGGGCAGUGGAAUUCCUAGUGUAGGAGUGAAAUCCGUAGAUAUUAGGAGGAACACCGGUGGCGAAGGCGGCUGCCUGGACCGAUACUGACGCUGAGACGCGAAAGCGUGGGGAGCAAACAGG